rnacentral:rRNA from 1 species
UACGGAGGGAGCUAGCGUUGUUCGGAAUUACUGGGCGUAAAGCGUACGUAGGCGGUUAUUCAAGUCAGAGGUGAAAGCCCGGGGCUCAACCCCGGAACUGCCUUUGAAACUAGAUAGCUAGAAUCUUGGAGAGGUCAGUGGAAUUCCGAGUGUAGAGGUGAAAUUCGUAGAUAUUCGGAGGAACACCAGAAGCGAAGGCGGCUCACUGGCCCGAGACUGACGCUGAGGCGCGAAAGCGUGGGGAGCAAACAGG